UACGGAAGGGGAAAGCGUUGCUCGGAAUCAUUGGGCGUAAAGGGCGCGUAGGUGGUUCUGUAUGUCUACCGUGAAAGCGUACGGCUCAACCGUAUUUUGUCGGUGGAAACUGCAGGACUUGAGGCUGGGAGGGGCUGGUGGAAUUCCCUGUGUAGCGGUGAAAUGCGUAGAGAUGGGGGAGAACAUCGGUGGCGAAGGCGCUCUGCUGGACCAUAACUGACACUCAGGGACGAAAGCUAGGGGAGCGAAUGGG
rnacentral:rRNA from 1 species